rnacentral:rRNA from 1 species
GACGAACGCUGGCGGCGUGCCUAAUACAUGCAAGUAGAACGCUGAAGGAGGAGCUUGCUUCUCUGGAUGAGUUGCGAACGGGUGAGUAACGCGUAGGUAACCUGCCUGGUAGCGGGGGAUAACUAUUGGAAACGAUAGCUAAUACCGCAUAAGAGUAGAUGUUGCAUGACAUUUGCUUAAAAGGUGCAAUUGCAUCACUACCAGAUGGACCUGCGUUGUAUUAGCUAGUUGGUGGGGUAACGGCUCACCAAGGCGACGAUACAUAGCCGACCUGAGAGGGUGAUCGGCCACACUGGGACUGAGACACGGCCCAGACUCCUACGGGAGGCAGCAGUAGGGAAUCUUCGGCAAUGGACGGAAGUCUGACCGAGCAACGCCGCGUGAGUGAAGAAGGUUUUCGGAUCGUAAAGCUCUGUUGUAAGAGAAGAACGAGUGUGAGAGUGGAAAGUUCACACUGUGACGGUAUCUUACCAGAAAGGGACGGCUAACUACGUGCCAGCAGCCGCGGGUAAUACGUAGGUGGCAAGCGUUAUCCGGAUUUAUUGGGCGUAAAGAGAGUGCAGGCGGUUUUCUAAGUCUGAUGUGAAAAGCCUUCGGCUUAACCGGGAGAAGUGCAUCGGAAACUGGAUAACUUAAGUGCAGAAGAGGGUAGUGGAACUCCAUGUGUAGGGGGUGGAAUGCGUAGAUAUAAAGAAAAAACACCAUAGCGAAGGCAGCUACCUGAUCUGCUCUGGGCUUAGACUCGUAAGGUGGGGGGCGAAGGGAAGUAAAUAUGGGGAUAUUCCAGGGGGAGUACGAACAGGAUAUCGGCCCAGCGAGACCCGCACCCCCAGGGGGGGCUGGGGGGGGGGGUGUGCCGGAGCCCGCCUUUUUUUCCGCACGCCCACUUAAUCCGUAAUUUGGGGAGACGGGAAGACAACG